GGGAGGGGGUUUGGGAGAAGGGGGUGGGAUUGUGGACAUUGGGGAGGGUAUGUGCUUUGGUGAGUGCUGUGAAGUGUGUAAACCUGGUGAUUCACAGACCUGUACCCCUGGGGAUAAAAAUAUAUGUUUAUAAAAAAUAAAAAAUUUUAAAAAAAAAAAGAAAGAAAGAAAAAAUAAAUAAAUAAAUAAACAAACAAACAAAAAGCCCACAGUUGAUAUUCUUUCUGCAAGGCCCUAGCCGGCAUCAUACUAAGACCUUGGUUGGGAUAAACCUUUUCCCUCUAUCCUUGACAACCUAUACUUCCAUGCUUGCCUUUCUGUCUAUAUUGAUGGGAGAAUCAAUAGUCAAUUAAUAGAAAAAUAUCAGGCAUUUACUAUGUAUUUAGCUCUGGACAAAGCAUGGGAUCGGGAAAACGCUGGCAAGGCGAGAGUUCAAAGAAAAGUGAGAUGGGGUGCCUGGGUGGCUCAGUCCAUUAAGAAUACAACUCUUGAGGUGCCUGGCUGGCUCAGUGGGUUAGGGCCUCUGCCUUCGGCUCAGGUCAUGAUCCCAGGAUCCUGGGAUUGAGCCCCACAUCGGGAUCUCUGCUCAGCAGGGAGCCUGCUUCCUCCUUUCUCUCUCUUUGCCUGCCUCUCUGCCUACUUGUGAUCUCUGUCUGUCAAAUAAAUAAAUAAAAUUAAAAAAAAAAAAAAAAAAGGAUCCAACUCUUGAUCUCAGCUCAGGUCUUGAUCUCAGGGUCAUGAGUUCAAGCUGUGCAUUGACCUCCCCACCAGGUGUGGAACCUACUAGAAAAAAAAAAAAAAAAAGAAAAGAAAAGUGAGGCAUGGCCUGGUUUAGGGGGCUUAAAACCCUGAAUGCCACACAGUAGUUUCUGAAACAGUGAAGGGCGAUAGCACAGAUGCUAAGUGCUAUAGAAUUUGGCAGGGAAAAUGGGAGGGCAGAGAAGCAACCCUGGAAGUGAACAGAGGGCCCAGUAUUACUGUUGUUGGGGCACCUAGGUGGCUCAGUUGGUUAAGCGUCUGCCUUCAGCUCAGGUCAUGAUCUCAGGGUCCUGAGAUCGAGCCCCACAAUGGGCUCCCACUCAGUGAGGAGUCUGCUUCUCCCUCUCCCUGCUACUCCCCUUGCUUGUGCUCUCUCUCUGUCAAAUAAAUAAAUAAAAUCUUUAAAAAAAAGGAAAAAAGAGUCACUGUUGUCAGGGGCAUCUAGUCUCACCUCCCAAAUACUCCUGCCAGCUUCUUCUGGCAAACCUGGGGGGUCAGUUCAGUAAUGCAAGAUGACCUGAUGAGAAACAGAUCAACAUUUUGCUCAUGGAUUCACAGAAAGUCAAUGUUUCCCUGAUCAUUUUGGAAGCAACAGGACUAGACUAUGUUUUUCGUAUAAUAUUUUAUUUUCCAAUAAAGAAAAGUAGAAAAACUAGAACAAGGAAUAUUUGGAAACUUCCUCUACAUUCAUCAAUUUUGCUGUAUAUUUACUUGAUCUCUUUCUACAGAGGCACCCUCCUCCCCACUAGAAAGGAAGUUGUAGACAUCAUCCCUAAAGCCGUCAGCAUAUAUCUUCCAAGAAGUGUAUUCUCCCACCUAAUGUAAUUAGAAUGUAAUUAUCCCUCAGGAGAAAUUCCACAUUCGUGUACCAUUUAUAUUCACUUUUCCCAAUUGCCACACAACAAUACCCUCUAGAGCUCUUAUACAAUCAAGGAUUAGUCAUUGCAUUGGGCGUCUUUAAUUGGCAACAGCACUCUACUCCCUUUUUUUGUCCUCUCAUCUUGACAUUUUUAAAGAGUGCAGCUGAGUCGUUUUGUAGAAUGACCUACAUUUUUUUUCUUUUCAAAUUUUUAAUUUAAACUCUAAUUAGUUAACAUACCAUGCAAUAUUGGUUUCGGGAGCAGAAUUCAGUGAUUCAUCACUUACAUGUAACAUACAGUGCUCCUCACGAUAAAUGCCUCCUUAGCACCCAUCACUCAUCUAGCCUGUCCCCCAUCCACCUCGCUCCAUCAACCCUCAGUUUGUUCUCUGUCAUUAAGAGUCUCUAAUGCUUUGUUUCCCUCUCUUUUUUCUUCCCCCACUUUCCCAUAUGUUCAUCUGUUUUGUUUCUUAAAUUCCACAUAUAAGUGAAAUCCUGGGUAUUUGUCUUUCUCUGACUGACCUAUUUCACUUAGCCGAAUACCCUCUAGCUCCAUCAAGGCGUUGCAAAUGGCAAGAUAUCAUUCAUUUUGAUGGCAGAGUAAUAUUCCAUUGUAUAGAUAUACCACAUCUUCUUUAUCCAUUCAUCAGUUGAUGGACAUUUGGGCUUUUUCCGUCAUUUGGCUGUUGUUCAUAAAAUUGCUAUAAACAUCAGGGUGUAUGUACCCCUUUGAGUCUGUAUUUUUGUAUCUUUGUAUCUUUUUGUAUCUUUUGUAUCUUUGAUUAAAUACCUAGUAAUGCAAUUACUGGGUCAUAGGGUAGCUCUAUUUUUAACUUUUUGAGGAAACUCCACACUGUUUUCCAGAGUAUUCAGUUUGCAUUCCCACCAACAAUGUGAGGGGGUUCACCUUUCUUUGCAUUCUUGCCAACACCUGUUGUUUCUUGUGGUGUUAAUUUUAGCCAUUCUGACAGGUGUGAGAUGGUAUCUCACCAUGGUCUUGAUUUGUAUUUUUCUGACAAUGGGUGAUGUUGAGCAUCUUUUCACGUGUAAAGAUUUUUUUUAAAAAGUAUUUUUAAGUAAUCUCUACACCAAACGCGGGACUUGAACUCCAAGAUCAGGAGCUGUAUGUCUUACCAACUGAGCCAGCAAGCAGCCCCGGAAUGACUCACAAUUUGGGUUUGUCUGAUUAUUUCCUCCUGGUUGGAUUCAGGUGCUAUUUCUUUCUUUUUAAAAAUUACUGAGGUAAAAUAUCUGUUCCACAACAGUAACCAUUUUAACCACAUUUAAGUGUACAAUUCCGUGGCAUUGAAUACAUUCAAAAUAUUGCACAACCAUCACUACUGCCUAUUUCCAGAAUGUUUCCAUCCACCCAAACAGAAAUUCCAUACCCAUUAAACAAUAACUUCCUAUGUCCUCUACCCCCACCCAGCUCCUGGCAACCAUCAUUCUACUUUGGAUCUCUAUGAAUUUGCCUAUUCUAGGUAUCUCAUAUAAAGAACAUACAAUUCUUGUCCUUUUGUGACUGGCUUAUUUCACUUAGUGUGAUGUCUUCAAGGUUCAUCCAUAUUGUAGCCUUUGUCAGAAGGUCCUUCCUUUUUAAGGCUGAAUAAGAUUGCUUUGUAUGUAUACACCACGUUUUGUUUAUCCACUCAUCUGUUGACAGAUGAAUGGGUUUGCCUCUAACCUUAGGUUGUUGUGAAUACUGAAUACUAUGAAUACCAGUGUACAAUUAUCUGUUUGAGUCCCUGCUUUCAAUUAUUUGGGGUAUAUACCUGGGACUGGAAUUGCUGGAUCAUAUAGGAAGCCUAUGUUUAACUUUUUGAAGAACCGCCAUACUGUUUUCCAUAGUGGCUGCACCAUUUUACAUCCUUACCAGCCUUCAGUUCUCAUGUGGUCUCCAAUCUCUCCACAACUUCACCAGUAUGUUUUGUUUUGUUUUGUUUUAAUAAUAGCCAUCCUAAUAGGUGAGAAGUGGUAUCUCAAUGUGAUUUUGUUUGUUUUUAGAGAUUUAUUCAUUUAUUUAUUUGAGAGAGACAGAAAGAGCGAGCAUGAGGAGGGAGGAGAGGGAGAGGGAGAAGUGGGCUCCCUGACGAUCAGGGAACCUCACAUGGGGCUCAAUCCCAGGACCCCCAAGUCAGGAUCCAAGCCAAAGGCAGAUGUUUAACCAACUUACUGAGCCACCCACGUGUCCCCAAUAUGAUUUUAAUUGUAUUUCCCAAAUGACUAAUAAUGUUGAGUAUCUUUUUAUGUCUUCUUGGCCAUUUGUGUAUCUUCUUUGGAGAAAUGACUAUUCAAGCUGUUUGUCUGCAUUUGAAUUGUUUGUUGUUGUUGUUGUUGUUCUUUAAGUUCUAGAAGUUCUUUCAUGUUUUGUAUUUUAAUCCCUUAUUAGAUAUAUGAUUUGCCUAUAUUUUCUCCCAUUCUGUGGGUUCUUUUUCACUCCUUUGAUAGUAUCCUUUGUACAUAAGUUUUAAUUCUGAUGACGUCCAAAUUGCAUACUUUUCUUUUGUUGUCUAUGCUUUCGGUGUCAUAUCCUAGAAGUCAUUGCCAAAUUCAAUGUCAUUAAGAGUUUCCCUUAGGUUUUCUUUUAAGAAUUAGGUAGUUUUAUCUCUUAAGUUUAGGUCUUUGAUUCAUUCUGCCUUAAUUUUUGUAUAUGAUGUAGAUAAGGGUUCCAUUUCAUUCUUUGGCAUGUGGAAAUAUCCUGUUUUUCUAGCACCAUUUGUUGAAAAGACUGUCCUUUCCCCAUUGAAUAGUUUUGUACCCUUGACAAAAAUCAAUGAUUUCUGGCUUAUUAUUUCUGACCCUGUUCCAUUGGUCUAUAUGUCUGCUCUAUUCCAUUUUAAGAAGUAAUAUGGUUUCUUCUAAACUCUUAUCCUUGUACCCACUCCAUCAAGGGGGGAAUAAGGAGGAAAAGUCUUAAGCACCAAAGGAUUAAGUAACGAAUGUUAUGGUGCCCUGGAUUUGAAUGCUAGGAAGAAUGCAACAUUCUGGAGGUGCCCGAUUUUCAGACUAGCAUUCAAAUUGUCAGUGUUGAGCAAGCAUUUUGUUCUAUUUUGAACCCAUCCCUUGCUAUCUUGGGCACAACCAUUCUUUACAUUUUUUCCCGUGUUACCAAACUUAGAGGACCCAAAUACGCUUGCAAGUGAUGCUGUUUUGAAAUCCCACGUGAUGGGAAUGAGACUGAUUCUGUGUGUGCAUUCAGCCUUUAACUCAUGAAAGAAGAAUCGCUAUUAGUCAGAGGUUCUUCAUUGAGCACAAUUUAUGUGGGACACUGUAACACAAAAUUUACAUCCAUUGUGGCUUCCAGUGCAAUUAGGGAGGCAAAGUAUAUAUAUAAAUGGAUAAUCAUCUAGAGAUGGGAAAGAUGAAAAAGGAAAUAGUCGCCCAAAUCUCCAAAUGUAGGAUCUUUCCGGGAUAUUUAAAGAGGAAGAGUAAAUUCUGUUUCAAGGGUUGAAGGGAAACAAUAUGGGGUAUUAAGACGAAGGCAGAUAUGAAUGAACUAUCUGGGGACAGUGAGAAGGCCAGCCCAACUAGAUCAGAGGGUGUGUGUGGGAGAGCAGUGGUGGAUAAGUGGGGUGGGGCUAAAUUAUGUAGGGUUUUUAAAUAACCAGACAGAAGAGUGUGCACUUGAUUUAGUAAGACAAUAGGAUACCCUUAAUAGUUCUUAAAUGACAUGAUUAAUUUUUAAAAUAAAGGAUGGUGGUACAGUUUUAGGUAGAUUUGUUCAGGAGGGAAUGUGGGGUAGGUUUUUAGAGAAGAGGAAUUGAUUCAGUUAUCAUAAGACUUCCCUGGAAAGAAAAGUAGAUCUUUGCUCCAAGUCCAAUGUCAGAUUGAGGUGUGUUUCAGAACCCUUGUUAAUUGAAAUCCAGUGUUAGAAAAUGCACUGGAUCUAAAAUCCUGUAAGAUCUUGCCCAAGUUCAAGCAGACCCACUAAUCUUUCGUGUUAAUGGCCUAAAAUUUCCACUCUGGGUUCUGGUUUGGUUUGGCGCUCUCCCCAGAUUGCCUCACUAGGGUGCCAUGUUUCCAAAGCUACCAAGCUAUGGGCAGGGCUGUAAUUUCAGUUUCCUCAUUUUUACAAAAGAUCAGGUUUUUCUAAAGCUCUUAGUGUAUCAGCCAGAAUUUGUGUUGAAAAGAUACACAAAAACUGGGAACCACUGCGGUUGACUUUUAGCCCUUUCAUCCCACCUGCAUUCCCCUAAAUGCUCAGCAGGACCUAGCACUUUCUCUCCACUCAGUGCUCUCCCUCAGCAGCCAAAGAUUACCUGUUAUGCACACAAGUGGUCCAAGCUGCUCUGUCCCAGAGAGGAAUGUGGAGCCUUGCCAGUUGACAUUUUGGGGGGGUCACAGGAAAAGAGAGGGUAAGCAGGAAGUGUUUCAUGGGCUAGAAUCAUGGGAUAUGCAAGGACACCCCAUGAACAUUCCAGAGCUCAGUGCUAGACAAUGGCAUAUGAGGAACCAUUAGACUGAUUUCCCCUGUGGUCAGAGGCUGGCUGCAUUUUUAUCCUUCCUCCCCUGCCUGAACACUCCCAACAUUGGAAUUUCUUCAGAUGGCUACUGUGUGUGGUUUUCAACCAGGACAAACAAAAAAGAGAGAGAGAGAGAGAGAGAUUUGUUUUCCUGUCUGCUUUUGGUCAAUGGAAUCUCUGAUUCGACUUAACUGGUCAUGCCUUGGACACCCGGCGGCUGGUUAGGACUUUAAGCCCUAAGCACACGGAACUAGCUUUACUGAUUCCUUUCCAUCGCCCGAAUCAGAGUACAAACUUCAUCCUACCCCUCACCCCCAGCGUCCCUUCAAACUAUGGUAAUUCUGCAGGUAAUUCCCAGCUAAUAUUCUGCCCACAAAUUGCUAUUUCAGCUGAACUUCCCCAUACUUGAGCAUCCUUACCAAAUAUUUUGGGCUUCCUCAUGGUCUAGUUACUUUCUCAUCUGUACGCUUUUCUGAUAUAAUUUUGAAGUGGUGAAAAAUCUGCCCUCAUUUUAAAAGGCAUAUAGUGGGCGCCUGGGUGGCUCAGUCAGUUAAGAGUCUGCCUUUGGCUCAGGUCAUGAUCCCAGGGUGCUGGUUGGGCUCCCUGCUCAGCGGGGAGUCCGUCUCCCUCUGCCCCUACCCUGGCUUGUGGGUGCUUGCGCACGCGCUCUCUUUCUCAAAUAAAUAAUAAAUAAAAUGUUUAAAUACAUACAUAUACAAAGACAUAAAUACAUAAACAAAGGGCAUAUAGUAAGCUCAGCUCCCCGCCCCCCAGGAGAUAUUGCAGAAAUCUGGAUUUAUACUCCUUUAUACCUAAUUCCAGCCUUCCAGGACUUUCAGUAUGGAUUUCUCAAAACCUUUGUGCUUUGGUGUCUUGUUUUUCACCUUUUUUUUCCCCUAACUGAAAAUGGGGUGAGGAGCAGGAGAAGGGAUUGUGGAUCACUGUGAUUAAAAAACAAAACACACAGAUGGCUCAAGGAGAAUCCUGGCCCCUCCCAUAUCCAAUCCCAGGGAGCAGGAAGUAGAAGCAACUCUCAGGCAGGUGGUCCCCAGUGCAUUCUCAGUCUCCUGAGGAAGGAAUGGGGAGCAGUUUGGUAAAACUUCACUUGAUGUUGGAGUUACCGGAGGAUAGGAACUGAGGAAGAACAUCCAUUGUGUGCAAACACUCACUGCAAGUGUUGUUCUGAGGACCGGCAGAGGAAAGGAAAGAUCUGGCUCCUACCCUCUGGGAGGGGAAGAGACUCCUCAGAGAGUUUCUCAGAGAAUACGACUCACAAAGGGAAAGAAUCUGCACCCAGCUUUCCCCUGUGGGAAAUGUCAGGACAUGGAGGCCUGUCAGAAGCUCUGGGACCGGGAUCGUCAGCAGCGCCUGGGGAGCAAAGAAAGCUGUGGAGGUUAUCUUCAUACCUCGAGGCCUCCUUCUGGCACAGAAUGUGAAAGAAGAGCGGGAAGAACAGACAGGACUGGGAUUUGGCAGGGUUCCAUGAGCAGCUGAGGAGCUCCGCCUCUAGGCCCCAAAUCUGCCCCUAGGGGAUUCAGGCUCCCCCUUCUGGGCCUAGCCCCACACUCAGAGCCCUGGUUCUGGGCACACUGGUGUGUCCUCCCUAGUGUGCGCGUGUGACGGGCCAUGGCCAUGCCCUUCCAGUCUUCCCCUGCCUCUCCUGAACCCCCGGCCCAUUCUAGGCUUUAUAAUCAGAGUCCUCAUUAUUCUGCUUUGUCCAUCCAAAGGCUACCCAAUCUGUUAAGGUCCACUUCAAUCUCAUCUCCUCCCUGAAGCCUUCCCUGACCACCCAGCUCUCACUGCCCUAAGUUCCCUUGUAGUGGAAAGUUGAAAUGUGGUUAAUUACAUUUGCCCCAAAUAUCUGAGCACCUGUUGGGUUGCAAGGCUCUGGGCGUGGAUGUUGGGGAAGGUAUGAAAGUAAAGGGCAGGAUCGUCUUUUAUCAAGAAGGUUAGACUCUAAGAGAAUGGCCUGGAAAAUCCCCAUGUUGCUUUGCAGGUCUGUUUUUAUUAUUUAACUUAAUAACAACAAUAAUAAUAAACCAUUGGGGGAAUACUUGCUAUGUGUCAAUACUGUGCCAAGAGGCUUUCAUGAACUAUCUAAUCCUUAAUAGUUCUUCUGUAGGGGAAAUGCUAUUAUUUGAGCCAGGCAGGCCGACUCUACUGUUUCCACUCCUCACACGCUGCCGUAAUUUUCCCCAUGUGUUUCACCUUUUCUGCUCAAUGAGCAUGAAACUCUUUGAGGCCAGGCACCUUGUCUCAUCCUCCCUCAGCCCCUGCAGCACUAAACACACUGCUGGUUUUGGAGGUCAGCCGCACACGCCGCUGGUGAGUUGUCCGCCAGGAUUCAGGGAUGCCUCGGUGAGCAGGCCCGGCGGCGGCAGAGAGGAGAGAUUGCCCUGGGUUUCAUAGUUCCGGGCAGCAGAGCCAGAAAAAUAGAUGAGGAGUCCAGGGUCCACAUACUGCUGGGGACCAACUCGCAGCUCACUCGCUGCCUCCAGGCCUAGACCAACAUUACCACCGAGCCAGGCCUCUAGGUACUAGGUGGGCUUUAUCUGAGGACCACUUUACAGCCUGCAUGUAGGUCCAUUAGGAACAGGCCCAGAAGGUUCAUGGUUAAUGAUUACCAAGACCCGGAAGUCCCCAACAUUGCCUAGAACUAAGAAUGUCCUGUCUUGAGGACAGACUUGUAUCAUCUUCACAUCUACAAGCCAACCUUAGGAUUGCUUAGCAUGUCUGCCGAGUUAGAGUGAUUGUAUGUCUGAGAGCAGGGGCACUUGAGGCACAAAAAUAUCCGUCCACAUUCAAGGGGACAGAUUCCUUGACAUUUAAUGAAAAUCUUACUCCCGUUCUAGUUACUCAUCUAUCAUGUUAUCUCUUUCUUUCAGAGUUACUGAUGGCCUAGAUAGUAUAAUAAGCUAUGCAGGGGAAAAAACAAAAAAACAAAAAAGGGACACCUGGGUGGAUCAGUUCGUUAAGUGGCUGCCUUCGGCUCAGGUCAGGAUCCCAAGGGUCCUGGGAUCAAGGCCCAUAUCCUGCUCCUGGCUCAGCAGAGAGCCUGCUCUCCCUGCUUGUGCUCUCCCUCUCUGUUAAAUGAAUAAGUAAAAUCUUAAAAAAAGAAAAAAAGAAGCUAUGCAGAGGGUGCCCUGGUGGCUCAGUUGGUUAAGCAUCUGCCUUCAGCUCAGGUCAUAAUCCCAGGGUCCUGGGAUCGAAUCCUACAAUGGGCUCCCCACUCAGUGGGGAGUCUGCUUCUCCCACUCCCUCUGCUUGUGCGCUCUCUCUGUCUGUGUCAGAUAAAUAAAUAAAAUCUUAAAAAAGAAAAAAAAAAAAGAAGCUAUUUAAGACUUAAGGGCGCACACCACAAAACUGGUUUCCCGCCCUCCAGCAGCUAAUAAUCUCAUGAAGGAGAUGAUUUUAGCUCUAUAAACACACGUAUCUACAACACAAGUCAUAUGAUGAUUAUCAUAUCAACCGUUUAUUAAUUGCUCACCCUUUGCUUCUAUGCUAAUAAUGUUUUAGCAGAUGUUAUCACACUUAAUCUUUAUAACAAAUCUAGAUGUAAUUAUUCCCAUUUUAUGUAUGAUGGAUAAAGCUCUGAGAGGCUGAUUUGUAACAGAGCUAUCAUUCAAGCCAAGGUUUGUUGGACCCCAAAGUUGGCUUCUAACAGCUACGCUGUACCGCUCCUCUUGAAAGGUCCAGACAGUGAGUGCUAAGUGAAAACAGAGAUAAGGUCACUUUGGCUCAGUUAACCAGAAGUCUUCUCCUCUAAAUGAUACUUCCCACUGCCAUGGCCCAAUCCUUUUUUUCCCUUCAUUUUUUUCCCCUACCUAGCCUUCACAGUACUACCAAAUUAAUGUUUCUUUCUUUUCCUCUCUUUCUUUCUGUUCGUUCUUUUUCUUUUCCUUCCUUCCUUCUUUCUCCCUCUCAUUCUUUCUUUUUUUUUUAAGUGGGAGAGGGGAACAGAGGGACAGAGUGAGAGAAAAUCUUAAGCAGACUCCACUCUCAGGGCAAACCCAAGACGGGGCUUGAUGCAGGACUCGAUCUCACAACCCUGAGACGAUGAGAGUUGGAUGCUUAACUGACUGAGCCACCCAAAGCCUGACAUGCAAGGUCUUCCACUGGCCAAGUAUAUCCUAACUUUCCAGCCUUUGCUUUUUCUACUUCUGUUCCCUAUAUUUUUGCCAAAUAGAACUAUUUGCUAUUCAGCAUAUAGAUCCACCACUAUUGCUUCCAAGUUUCUUUCCAUACCUUCCAUCUAGAAUGCCUUUUCCUCAGUUCGUGUCUCCAACUCUUACCCGUUCUUUAAUGUCCAGUUUAAAUGUCACUUGUUACAUGACAGUUACCAAGUUUGGGAUAUAUACAGAUAUAGAUAUAGAUAUAGAUAUCUAUAUCUAUAGAUAUCGAUAUAGAUAUAAUUUCCAUGUAUUAUUUAUGAGUCUUUUUUCCUCUACUAGAGAGCAAGUACUUUGAAAGCAGAAUCCAAAUCUCAUUCAUUCUUAUAUUUUCCCAUAUCCCAGUCCCUAGUAUCCUAGUACUUCUUUAUGUACCUAGAAUAUCUUUAUUCUAUAUAUCAUAUCCUCUAUAUCCUAAUUAGAUACAGUCUCCCAUAUCCUCCAUGUCCUAACCUAAUCAGAAGUCCAUAAAUAUUUAUUGGGUCAGUUAAUUUUUUUAAAAAACUUUAUUUAUUUGACAGAGAGAGAUCAGAAGUAGGCAGAACAGCAAGCAGAGAGAGAGGAGGAAGCAGGCUCUCUGCCAAGCAGAGAAACCGAUGUGGGGCUUAAUCCCAGGACCCUGAGAUCACAACCUGAGCUGAAGGCAGAGGCCUAACCCACUGAGCCACCCAGGCACCCUGGAUGAAUUAAUUGUUUAAAUCGAAGGAUAAACUAAUUAAGUGGAAGGAUUUGAAUGUGUAGCACCUUCCUCUGCCAAUCUUCUUUCGAAGUACCCAUACCCUUACAGAAGCUGUGAAGAUAGAGAGCUAUAGUUUAGAGUCCUAGAAAGCCAAGAUAGAAUUGAACCUGGUAGGGUAAGAGUCUAGAGAACAAUGGAUCAUUUGCAUGCUACAUUGUAGAGGAAAAGGACAGGACAUAGAGUUCAGGGUGGCGGGUAGAGGAAGGGCUGUAAUAGCAAUGAAUUUCUUUCUUUGAAAUAUUGUCCAACAUCCUGGUAUUUGGGGAAUCUGCCUCCUUUGUCUGGUGCAAACUGUGGCAUUCUAGCCAAGCCUAGCAGCGGGGACUCUCACUGGUGGACCUGUUGCUUCCCUGCCCCCAACCCCUACCCCUACCCAGCCCCUCCAGAUGUAUUGCCCUCCCUGUCAUCCCAGAGCAAGUGUUAGGUGCAAACUAAGGCUAAGGUUGGACCCCCUUGGGCCAACUGAGCUUGGGCUCAAGUUGUGUAAAACCCAUUGGACUUUCAGAAUCAGAAUCACAUUUUAGGUGAAUGGAAAAAUCUUCCUUGAUUUUGGCUUGCUUGUUCAGGGAUUCACAGGACAGAGCAGGCUGGGCAGCCGACCUCAGCAGGAUGCCUUAGACAAGGCAUCUGCACAAAGGAUGGGAAGGCAGAAAGACAGUCGCACCACCACGGAGAGGGGGCAGGAGGGGUGGAAGAGAUGAGAGCAGCUUUCCGUUUCAAGGACUACAAGUCUGCAGGUCCAGAGUUCCUAGAUAGGCACUUGUAAAAAUGGCCCUGUCAGGAGGGAUUCUUGACUCUUAGGUAGUCUCUGUUCCCAAGCCCCUUUUAUGGUUCCAUUCACCUUAUUCCAGCUUCCCAGGGGAGCUAGUGCCGAGAUGAGGUCUACAUGAGCCACGCUCUGCCUUAGAGCUCGCAGCCUUUUUCUGAACCAGUCUUCCCGAGUCUAAGGAGCCUGUAAUAGCAACUGGGAGAUGGGACACUCAGAGGUCCCAUUAAAUGUCUGGUGAGACUUUUAGAACUCUGAUCUAUAGAAAGCUAAGAGAAGGUAAAAUUAAACUUAUUGAAAGCAACCCACACAAGAGCAGAAUUUCCUGACCUGAAGUCUCCAAAUCCCAAAGAUGUCUGUGGUGAAUUCAGGGUGUGGGGGACCCACUGAAGUGGUGUGUAAAAUUAUAUAUGUUAUGAAAAAAAAAUUAUAUAUGUAUGUAUAGGUGUGGCUGCCUUUGUUUCUGGAACCAGGGCCUGUAACCUUUAUCACAUUCUUAAAGGGUCUGUGACCUCCUGAAGUUAAACAAAACAAAACAGCACAUUUUUCUAGAGAAUAAAGGUGGGAACUGGGUGUCAGGGGAAUUUGGAGGACAUUCCAACUCCUCCCACUUCCCAUGUGAUGCAAACAUGUGUGCGCUGGGAAACAGUGACAAAUACAGGGAAGUGACAGGUCACUUAAAAAAAAAAAAAAAAAGCCCUUCAGGCUGAUAGAAUCCUGAGGUCUGUCCUUCUCUUCUUAAAUGAUACGACUUACGUAGCUGUCCCUCCUCUCUUUCAUUUUGUCUUCGCUGCCACGGGAUUACCUGUUCUAGAGAAUGCUGUUUGUUCAAGGGCAUUGAGCCUAGAAGGGGAGGCCUCGUUUGUUGGGCUGGCAUGAAGAGCCACGGUCUGGGCAAGGUUGAAUGUGUCCUUCACCUGUUCUAGUGGAAGCCAAACUUGUCAAGCCUGUACCCCUUUAAAACUUCUAAAACAUUUGUGGAUUCCUCCGGGUAAUUGUAAUUGUACUUUCAGUAUCCCUGAAUGAAAAACUGCACGCUGAUAAAAAGCAACAGUGUGGGUGAUAUUCCUUUAAAUACGUAUUUUUAAAAAUGACAGGAGCAUCUCUGUGUGUUUGAAAAACAGCUCAGCACUUACAUGCGAGAUGAAUUAUUUAUCGCGUCUAUAGGCAAUGAUCGGGAAGCCUCUGGAUUCCGGAACCCCUCACUGUGGACCUCCUGAGGACCUUCUCCUCUUCCCUCAAAGAGGGAGUCCCUGGUCUCAUUUAAGCUCUUCGCUUUAUAGAUGAGGACACUGUGGUCUGAAAAUAUGAGUCUCCCAGUGAGGCGGGUGGAGCUCAUUCGAGACCUUCCUUACUGCCACUGGAGGUCUUUGCAGGAGGCCUGUGAGGCCACAGAAUGUUCUCAGAGCCUCCAGUCUCCCACUGGCCCUGGAACUCUCCUCUCCAACAUCCAUACCUCCACGCCCUCCCCUCACUAAGAGGGCCACCUCUCCAAAGGGCACCUGAGGGAAGGAAGGACCCUGGCCCUCUGACAGGACUGCGUUGCUGCCAUCAGGCACCCGAGCAAACUGUAGAAUGGACCCUUUCGUGCGGUUUGCCAUUAAAUCAAGCAAUCAGAUUCUCCCCCUGCUUACCUGUGGAAGACGCUUUAUUCCUUUCCGAUUAGCAGACCUGAGAAACCAUCAGACAAGAGAGUCAACUGAGGGGCACCAGGCCUUGGCAACAAACAUAAUGGCUGCCACUGGAGUGACUGAGCCACCCAGACAGGUUAAGCCCUGCCUCAUGUGGUCCUUACCACACGCCUGUAUUAUUCUCAUCCUCAUUUGACAGAUGAGGAGACUGAGGCUUGGAGAGGUAAAUGGCAACACCACACACUUUCUAAGGGCUUCAGGGAUGGGAUUCAAAGCCAAGCCAAAAGCCAGAGCCUACAGGGGUAACCUCUAUGCAGCACUCUGUUACGCCAGGCUGACUGGUCCCAGGAUUCUUGGGUCCUCCUUAGGAGUAAAUGAUAUUUUGACCCCUUUACUCAAGGAAUCAUUCUAAAGCCAGUCAUAGUUACCCAGUAAUGCAGAAGCCCUUCUCUUCCAAAACUGGGAACCUCUUUGCCACAUCCUCUAGGGACCCAGAUGGACUCCAUAAACAGUGCUCAUCCAUGAGAACAGAGGCACUUGAUCUUUAAAGUUCUGAUUCUAGGGCACCUGGGUGGCUCAACUGGUUAGGCAACUGCCUUUGGCUCAGGUCAUGAUGCCAGAGUCCUGGGAUUGAGUCCCUGAUAGGGCUCCCUGCUCUGCAGAGAGUCUGCUUCUCCCUCUGACCUACUCCCCUCUCCUGCUCUCUCUCACUUUCUCUCUUAAAUAAAUAAAUGAGAUCUUUAAAAAUAAAAUAAAAUAAAAUCCUAAUUCUAGCUCACAGCUCCUGCACAGAGGAGGUCAGAAAGGGUGAGUUCCUAGGCUUGUUCCCACCUCCGCCCAGGCUGUGCUCCACCCGGAAGUGCUCCCUGACAGAUCCACUCACCAACUAAGGCCUCCAGGCUGACUCAAAGAUUUCCCUGGUCCACGAAGUUCUUCAGAACUAUAUGAAUCCACGCUGAUUUGUCUCAUUCUUUCUGGAGGAAUUUUCUCUUUGGCCUAAUUGCAGCUUCUGCCUUUUGUCUGUUUUGACUCGUGGAAGAGCCUUAGCCCCCAGCAAGCUCCCUGAAAGCAGAAGCCAAACAUAUUCAGUGUCGCCUGCCCCCAAGCACCCAGCACACGGUAGGACUGCUUGUCAGUACUUCCUACAUGGAAGGCCAUGGUCCUGAGAACUUCCUUCCUCCUGGACCAUUCAUUCUGGCUACAGCUCCUCUCCAAAGACAUUGCUGGCUUCCCACCCCCUACCUAAUUCCCCUGAGGCUCAUGACCUUUGAAAGUGCUGGGA